UACGUAGGGUGCAAGCGUUGUCCGGAAUUAUUGGGCGUAAAGAGCUCGUAGGCGGUGUGUCGCGUCGGUCGUGAAAACUUGGGGCUUAACCCUGAGCUUGCGGUCGAUACGGGCAUCACUGGAGUUCGGCAGGGGAGACUGGAAUUCCUGGUGUAGCGGUGAAAUGCGCAGAUAUCAGGAGGAACACCGGUGGCGAAGGCGGGUCUCUGGGCCGAUACUGACGCUGAGGAGCGAAAGCGUGGGGAGCGAACAGG
rnacentral:rRNA from 1 species